rnacentral:lncRNA from 1 species
AUGUGGACGUUGAUGGAAAUGAACGUUUCUAUUGUUAUUUUUGUACCCAUUUUUCAUUCGUAAACAGAAGUUUUAUAUUUCCUUUCUUCUCUGUAUAAAUCUCGUGAGUUUAAGUGUGUAUUGAGUGUGGGACCUGAACCAACAUUUGGUAUCAGAGCCUAGUGCUCGUGAAGACGGAGGAAGCCUCCGCCGCCGGCGGGUGUGUCGGUCGGUGGAGGGCAGGCGUAAAAGAAAGGUUCGAGACGGCAGGUGGCUGUUUUCGGAUCGUUUAACAGCAGAAGACGGACACGUUAAGGUGUUUCGGUCAGUCGUUGUUGUGGUAGACGUACCGGUUAAGACGACGGGGGUGACCGGUGAUUAACACUUGUGUUCGGUGGUUGUUCGGGACUGUGUUGCAGCGUUAGACGAAUACGUUAUGGUGUUCGGGUCAACCGUUGUUGCGGGUGAGAACCGGUUGAGAUGACGGGGGUGACCGUGAUGAACAUUGGUGUUCGUGGCUGUUAAGAUACUAGGUUGUUCGGUUGUUAGUUGCGGGUUUGCGCGGCUGUUAUAUAACCGGUGAUAACAGUAGAUGGUGUCGCAGGUGCCUUGAUCGAGUUGUUCGUGAUAAGAGGAGACCGACGUGGUGCGUGAAAGGCGAGUAGAAAGGAUCCGUCAAAGCAGGUGGCUUUGGAUUCGUCUCGUUUGGCAAGGUGAGAAAACGGAAUAAGCGGGUGGCUUGUUUUCUUUGUCGGUAGAGAGCCUCUUGAACAAAGGUGAUCGGAAAAAGGUAAAGAAUGGAGAAAACACGGUGUAACAUAUGGCGUUGGAGUUCAAAUCGGGUGGCUUUGGAUGGGACCGGGGUGAGGUCGUUGAUCCGUGAAAAGUCGUGAUGUUAGUGAGCGUUUCCAGCGUGAUGCCAUGUAAUGCCAUGUAAGAUGUUACAAGUGGUGUUUUUUUUUCGGGUUGAACCGAGACAUUGGACGUGAUCGAGGUGAAGAUCGGGUGUCCGUUAGAUGUCAUAGUGGUUCGAAACCGAGGUGAUUCAGUGCUGCGGUGAAGGCGUAAACAAACACCGAUUAAGGGGGUGAUUGUUGGAUUAUUCGGGUUUGUUUACGGGUCACGGGUCAGUGUGUUAUCGGGUCGUGGUUUAACGAGUCUCCGGUUACGGGUAAAAAGAGAAACCAAAUCAAGGGUAAAAGGGUCAUUAUUUGGAUUACUUUAUGGCUUUCUCCACAAGUUGGAAAAAUAAAGAAAUAGUCAGAUUUGACCGAGAUCAGGGGUAACGAUGUUGACCGAAUUUGGUGCAUGUGGACGUUGAUGGAAAUGAACGUGGAGUCAGAGCCGUUCCAACGUUUUUGGAGGCCCUAAGCUGAUACAAAAAGAAGUCAAGAAGCCAAAAUCAGAAUGAUGAAUCAGUUUCCAAAAAUUCCAUCGAGUGAUUACCGAUAACAAUGAAUGAGUUUCCAAGAUAACUAUCGAACUUUUCGAACGAUUGCGUUCCCAAAAUUUGAUUUUUCCUAUUCCCUCGCUUCCUAGCAUCGCCUAUAAUUUCUGCCAAAUCUCCUUAAUUACUAUAUUGUCGCCUAGCAACUCAUUUUUUUGGGCCUUAUUUGUUCGGUUUCAGCCCAAAUCCAAUACACAUACAAACAACUUCUUAUCAAAAUUGGAGGCCCUAUAUUUUGGAGGCCCUAGGCCUUUGCCUAGUUUAUAUAGCCCAUUGGGCCGGCUCUGCGUGGAGUUAUGAUUUUGCAUGUGUUUUUUAAUUAUAAAUAGUGGUAGGUUUCUAUUGUUAUUUUUGUACCCAUUUUUCAUUCGUAAACAGAAGUUUUAUAUU